rnacentral:misc_RNA from 1 species
CUCGACCGGAAAAAACAACACCGCUCCACUGCGGGGCUGCCCAUCUUCUUCUGACCUCUUUCUUCUCCGCAUCCACUGCCGCGACGGGACCUCGCCGCGGUGCGACCUCACCGCUCCACUGACGCAACCUCGUCGGCUGUGCCAUGGGAGCUCUGGCCCCCUCGCAUCAGCUGCUGGCGGGCCCGCGAGCUAGGGUUUCCGGUCACCGCGGAUCUCGACGGCCUCCUUCGCUGAGCUCCUCACAGCCCCGCGAUGCAAUAUCGUCAGCCGUGCCGCCUGAGACUCCGGAUUAUCAAAAGUUGAUGCGAUCUCACCACCAGUGACAAGAGCUAGCCGUUCAAUGCCCUCAAAAUCAGCAUGCUCAAUUGCGAGGAUGCCAACAUCAACAAAGAGUUCUUCAGGGAAGUUAUAGAUUAACUGCCUGUUGACAAAAUAGUUGAUCCCAUGCGCUAUAAUCUUCUGCACCUUCUUUCUCAUUUUCUGCUUUUCAGCAGCUUCAAUAUCUGCAACCUUAAACAUUGAAUCCACCCAGACACAUGCCCCAUAGUCUUAAAUCUGUGUCCAUAGCACUGUUUGCAACCAAAAUUUUGGCAUUCUCAAUUCUCUUAGGUUGCCCAAUGCCAAUUUUCUUGUCAAGAAUGAACCCUUCAUCCAAAAAGGAGUCCUUAAGAGAUCCUCCAGGUUUCUUCAGAAUUUGAAUGGCUUCCAGGUUGGUGCUGCCCUUAAGCCUUAAUACAGCGUCAACUGCAAGUUCAGCAAAGUACUCUUUAUCCUGGGAAAGAAUUUUUGAACUAAGGGUAGUCAUAGCAAUGUUCAUGAGAUCAGCUCUGAACUUAUCUGAACAUACUGUACAUGUUAAAUCAGUGCUUUACUUUGAACUAAUAAAACACCGUUAACUGGUAAUUUAUCAUUGCUAUGGUCCUUCAGGCUAUUUGAGGAGAUGUCGUCAUCGUCAUCAUCAUCCUUACUCUCUGGCUCCAAUACUGUGAGUGUUGAGCUUCAUCUAAUCCCUUGCAAGCUCUGCAAUGGGGUGGUGAUUGAGCGGGUCUCCAAACAACCAGAAAGCACAUCGAGGAAGUUCUACCGGUGCAGAGCCAAGAAAAUGGAUGGGUCUCAAUGUGAUUUUUUCCAUUGGCAAGCGAGCUAUGCUGUUUUGUUAAUCAAGGAUGGGGUUGUCAGUGGUGACCAUUGCCUUGAGUUGUUAAUGGUCGCACUUAAUGAUCAUGGCAAAGCUGUUGAAUCUCUAACCAAUUCCAUCAGAGAGAUGAAGAAAAAGUUGUCCGACCUGGAGUUAGUGAUGGAAGAGCUGGAUAACGUGAAAAAGUCAAUGAAGGCAGCCAUGGUUGGAAUUGAGGAAAACAAUAAAACGAUAGCUGCAUUGAAACUGAUGGAGAAUGAGAUGCAAAUGCUGAAAGGGUCAACUAAAGUGAAACCUAGGAAUAUGGCACUGUGUUUUCUGCUUUUGGCGUUGAUUGGGUGGUUUGUGAUGGGACAGAUGUAUUGGGGGGAGGAUUAGGAAGCAUCCGGCCGAUUUAUGCUGAGAGGCUAAUGAACUUUGGAUGGACUUUUGUAUAGCUAGAUAUAAUCAGAACUGGUUAGGCCUAGAGAUGGCAAUGGGGACCCGAUCCCCGAUUCCCCGCGGGGAAUUCAUCCAUUAGGGGAUGGGGAUGGGGAAGAAACUUCCCCCGCGGGGAUAUAAACGGGGAAAGUUUAUCCCCCGACGGGUAAAUGGGGAUGGGGACGGGGAAGCAUUCCCCAUCCCCGUUCCCCGUGGGGACCCGUUAACUUGCAUGUGACUAUGUUUUUGUGUACCGGUUAACAACAAAAAUAAAUAAUUACCUUGUCAAGAGACCA